rnacentral:lncRNA from 1 species
UACAGGGGGAUCCUGGUGUAAGAGGUCCCAUGGGUAACCCUGGGAAAGAAGGCCCAAAGGGAGUCAAAGGAGAGAGAGGGUUCCCAGGCCCAACGGGAGAUAAAGGUGAUGAGGGGCCUUUAGGAGUAUCAGGACUUCCUGGUGUGACCGGUCGUACAGGGUCCCCGGUAAGAAGCCUGUCUUAAUGUGUACUGAUAUUAUAUAGAAUCUCUUUCAUUAUUUUAUGACACAAAGUACCUUUUUAUAGUUACAGGUCUGUGUCUCGAGAUGUGCGAGUCCUUUUUUUUGAUGUUCAUGCUUAAAACAGGAUGCUGUUCUGUUUGCAGGGGCUUAUGGGUAGACCCGGGCCAAUGGGCCAACUAGGCGGAAAAGGAGAAAGAGUAAGUCUGUUUACUAUUUAAAGCAUUUAUCUAUAUAAUGUAGGUAGUGUGUAGGUCUUCAUGCGCUUUAUAUACAGUAAAGUAAUGUAAACG